CCUCUGCACGACCUCCUCCACGUGCGCAUCACUCCAAGUCCAGGACUUUGAGGCUUGUGAGGACACCGAAGAGUAUCGAGCCGUUGGAGGGUUAUAGCUGUGGCUGAUCUUAUGAUCCGGCUCCUACUCACCCCUCCGAUGACCUUGAGCCUUCCCUUAAGAUUAAGGAGGGGUUGAGUGGAUGGGUCAUCACCAUGUCGCACAACAAUAUACUCCAUGUAAUCUGCCUACAUAGUUCAAAAAUAUAUUAGUUCUAAUAUACAUAUC
rnacentral:lncRNA from 1 species